rnacentral:rRNA from 1 species
GACGAACGCUGGCGGCGCGCUUAACACAUGCAAGUCGAGCGGUAAGGCCCUUCGGGGUACACGAGCGGCGAACGGGUGAGUAACACGUGGGUGACCUGCCCUCAGCUCUGGGAUAAGCCUGGGAAACUGGGUCUAAUACCGGAUAUGACCACAUGUCGCAUGGUGUGUGGUGGAAAGUUUUUCGGCUGGGGAUGGGCCCGCGGCCUAUCAGCUUGUUGGUGGGGUGAUGGCCUACCAAGGCGACGACGGGUAGCCGGCCUGAGAGGGCGACCGGCCACACUGGGACUGAGACACGGCCCAGACUCCUACGGGAGGCAGCAGUGGGGAAUAUUGCGCAAUGGGCGGAAGCCUGACGCAGCGACGCCGCGUGGGGAUGACGGCC